AUGUUAUAAAGAAAGGUAGAGGGAUUAGACCCGAUGAAGCCUUAGCAACCCUUCGAUUUAUCGAAGAAGGUGCUGCAUUCUACCACGCCAAACGUGGAAAGAUAACAC
rnacentral:ncRNA from 2 species